rnacentral:rRNA from 1 species
GACGAACGCUGGCGGCGUGCUUAACACAUGCAAGUCGAACGGAAAGGCCCUGCUUGCCGGGUACUCGAGUGGCGAACGGGUGAGUAACACGUGGGUGAUCUGCCCUGCACUUCGGGAUAAGCCUGGGAAAAUGGGUCUAAUACCGGAUAGGAGCCAUUUUUAGUGUGAUGGUUGGAAAGUUUUUUCGGUGUAGGAUGAGCUCGCGGCCUAUCAGCUUGUUGGUGGGGUAAUGGCCUACCAAGGCGGCGACGGGUAGCCGGCCUGAGAGGGUGGACGGCCACAUUGGGACUGAGAUACGGCCCAGACUCCUACGGGAGGCAGCAGUGGGGAAUAUUGCACAAUGGGCGCAAGCCUGAUGCAGCGACGCCGCGUGGGGGAUGACGGCCUUCGGGUUGUAAACUCCUUUCGCUAGGGACGAAGCUUUUUGUGACGGUACCUAGAUAAGAAGCACCGGCUAACUACGUG